rnacentral:misc_RNA from 1 species
GAUGAAGAACGCAGCGAAAUGCGAUACGUAAUGUGAAUUGCAGAAUUCAGUGAAUCAUCGAGUCUUUGAACGCACAUUGCGCCCCCUGGUAUUCCGGGGGGCAUGCCUGUCCGAGCGUCAUUGCUGCCCUCAAGCACGGCUUGUGUGUUGGGCCUCCGUCCUCCUCCCGGGGGACGGGCCCGAAAGGCAGCGGCGGCACCGCGUCCGGUCCUCGAGCGUAUGGGGCUUUGUCACCCGCUCUGUAGGCCCGGCCGGCGCCUGCCGAUCAACCAAACUUUUUUCCAGGUUGACCUCGGAUCAGGUAGGGAUACCCGCUGAACUUAAGCAUAUCAAUAAGCGGAGGA